GGAAAAAUGGCCGAGCGGUGCGAAGCGCUGGUUUAAGGUUCGAGCUCAUUUGAGGGCGUGGGUUCAAACCCCACCCUUUUCA